ensembl:processed_transcript
AUGUGUAUCAUACAUUGUGGGCCUGUUUAUUUCCCAAUUUUAUCUUCUCUCCCCAUGGGCCUCCCUCCUCCAAACAAGCUCUUCUCCCACUAUCAGAUCUUUCUGUGUUGGUUUUUAUUUUGUGACCCACUGAAUUUAACAAAGACUACAAUGUAGAGUUAUCUACUGGAACAUGAGCAGUUCACCAGGGCGAUACUUCUGAAGACAAUGAUUCUCAGCCUCCCACAGGCAACUGCCAAUAUCUCAAAAGUUCAGGCCCAAUGUUGACUCUCAAUCCAUGACCGAAUGCUGAAAGGUCCAUACUUGUGCAGGUCCUGUAGUAAGUUCAUGAGUACAAAGGCUAUGCCACGUUCAUAGACUUUCGUGACUUUCUUCUCUGUAUCAUCUCUUGUAUUCUGUCUGCACACUCUUCAGUGAUUUUUCCCAAAUAUGGAAGAGGUGGCUCAGUGUAUCAUUUAAUUCUAAGCACUCAAUGGUCACUUGUUCUCAACACUUUCUUUUUCAUUUUUCAGCCAUAUAACUCCAUAUAAACUUCCAUACACUGCCAAAAUAAUAUUUUCUGGCAAAGGCUAAAGACAGCAUUAAAUAUUGAUAUAAACAUAAAUAUUCAAGAGGCAGUUUGAAAACACGUUCAUUUAUCAGAACAGAUGCAAUAGCUUCACCUCUAGGGCCUAUGACCUCCCUACUCUUUGACUAGUAUUUGACCAAGUCCACAGUACCUUCUGGCAGAGUUGAGCUUCAAGUCCAAUCAGAAUGUAAUUGGUUACUGCAUAAAAGUCACGCCACCAUUAAAUCAAUGGGAAGGUUGGCAUUGUAGCAUCCAAGGUCAACAAAUAGUCUUAACUAAGACUACAGAUGAGUUUUCCUCCCAGGCGCCUUCAUCAAAACUGCUGCCAUUCUGAAAGUUAGCCAGCAGGAAGAAAGCUUACAGGUCAGAUCCCACAGGAUUUCUUUACAACUUCCAUCCAGGAGUCAUCACAUUAGAAAAUGGCUAUUCAAAGAUGCCUGCUGUUGUUCAUCAGGCAAGCAUUUGUGUAAUGAGACUAUGGAGAGCACGAUAAGCCAACUUCCCAGUGUAUAUCAUAUUUCAUCGAAAACAAAACUGAAGGUAGAGGGAAUGAUUUGUUGAGAGAAGACUAGCUUCACCUUGGCAAAAACCUAUUUCUUCAAGUUUUGGCACACCUUUCACCUAUACCAAGCUUUAAGAAAGCUAUGAAGAAGAGCUGAUGAAAUACCUCAGUGGCUAAGAACAUAUGCUUCAAGUUUCUUUCCCAGCACCUAUGUCCAGCAGCUCACAAUUACCUAUAAUUUCAGCUCAACCAUCGGCCUCUAACCCCUGCAGACACACAUGCACAUAAUUAAAAAGAAUAAAAGGUCUUUAAAAUUAAAUCUUAAGAAAUAAAAAUAUUAACUUGCG